AACAAACGCUGGCGGCGUGCCUAAUACAUGCAAGUCGAACGGGGAAAGCUUCGGUGAGUACUAGCGGCGGACGGGUGAGUAACACGUGGGUAACCUGCCCAUAAGACUGGGAUAACUCCGGGAAACCGGGGCUAAUACCGGAUAACAUUUUGAACCGCAUGGUUCGAAAUUGAAAGGCGGCUUCGGCUGUCACUUAUGGAUGGAACCGCGUCGCAUUAGCUAGUUGGUGAGGUAACGGCUCACCAAGACAACGAUGCGUAGCCGACCUGAGAGGUGGAUCGGCCAGACUGCGACGUGGCAACGGCCCAGACUCCUACGGGAGGCAGCAGUAGGGAAUCUUCCGCAAUGGACGAAAGUCUGACGGAGCAACGCCGCGUGAGUGAUGAAGGCUUUCGGGUCGUAAAACUCUGUUGUUAGGGAAGAACAAGUGCUAGUUGAAUAAGCUGGCACCUUGACGGUACCUAACCAGAAAGCCACGGCUAACUACGUGCCAGCCGCCGCCGUAA
rnacentral:rRNA from 1 species